rnacentral:lncRNA from 1 species
UGUUCAUAAGACGUUUUUUGUUUGUUUUCAUGAGUGGGGCCUGCCCUGGAGGUUUGUCGGUGGCCUUUGGAAACACCCUGUAUUGAUAUAUUCAUGGAAUUGACUUGUAAUUGUCCUGUUAAGAUGGCAAGAUGUGUCAAUAUCUGUUUUUCAUACAAUCUAAAUAUAUUUUUACAUUUCUAUUUUAUGGAGGUUUUCUGGACCUCACAGAAUGAAGAACAAUUAACAAAGAAAAGAAACAAAGAAAGAAUGAUUGUAGAGGAAUCUAGUAUGGUGCAUAAAGAUAGAUAUAUAUGGCUCUAUCUAAUUGGUGGCAUUUGAAUGUUUUCCCCUCAUUUUAUUAUUAUUAUUUUUCCUUCUUUGAAUGCUGUCCGUUUUCAUACAAGGAUAUGGGUGUGAUGUUGUUGUUGUCAUAUUAAAGAUGUAAUUAGUAAUCAGAUUCAAAACUGAUAGUGACUGAAAUAAAAAUUUAUGAUAAUAUACUGGAUGAAGAAAAAUUGCAUCUUGAACUUUUGCAUACCGAUGGGAGAUAUCAG